rnacentral:rRNA from 1 species
AUUGAACGCUGGCGGCAGGCCUAACACAUGCAAGUCGAACGGUAACAGGGAUCUGCUUGCUGAGUCGCUGACUAGUGGCGUACGGGUGGGUAAUGUCUGGGAAACUGCCUGAGGGAGGGGGAUAACUACUGGAAACGGUAGCUAAUACCGCAUAACGUCGCAAGACCAAAGUGGGGGACCUUCUGGCCUCUUGCCAUCUGAUGUGCCCAGAUGGGAUUGGCUAGUAGGUGGGGUAACGGCUAACCUAGGCGACGCUCCCUAGCUGGUCUGAGGGGAUGACCAGCCACACUGGAACUGAGACACGGUCCAGACUCCUACGGGAGGCAGAAGUGGGGAAUAUUGCACAAUGGGCGCAAGCCUGAUGCAGCCAUGCCGCGUGUAUGAAGAAGGCCUUCGGGUUGUAAAGUACUUUCAGCGGGGAGGAAGGGAGUAAAGUUAAUAUCUUUGCUCAUUGACGUUACCCGCAGAAGAAGCACCGGCUAACUCCGUG